rnacentral:rRNA from 1 species
CGUGGGUAACCUGCCUUAUAGUGGGGGAUAGCCUUUCGAAAGGAAGAUUAAUACCGCAUAAGAUUGUAGUAUCGCAUGAUAUAGCAAUUAAAGGAGCAAUUCGCUAUAAGAUGGACCCGCGUCGCAUUAGCUAGUUGGUGAGGUAAUGGCUCACCAGGGCGACGAUGCGUAGCCGACCUGAGAGGGUGAUCGGCCACAUUGGGACUGAGACACGGCCCAGACUCCUACGGGAGGCAGCAUG